rnacentral:rRNA from 1 species
AUUGAACGCUGGCGGCAUGCUUUACACAUGCCAGUCGAACGGUAACAGGCCUUCGGGUGCUGACGAGUGGCGCACGGGUGAGUAAUGCAUCGGAACGUGCCCAGAGGUGGGGGAUAACGCAGCGAAAGCUGUGCUAAUACCGCAUGUGAUCUGAGGAUGAAAGCGGGGGACCAGGCAGCAAUGUUUGGCCUCGCGCCUUUGGAGCGGCCGAUGUCAGAUUAGGUAGUUGGUGGGGUAAAGGCCUACCAAGCCGACGAUCUGUAGCUGGUCUGAGAGGACGACCAGCCACACUGGGACUGAGACACGGCCCAGACUCCUACGGGAGGCAGCAGUGGGGAAUUUUGGACAAUGGGCGCAAGCCUGAUCCAGCAAUGCCGCGUGCGGGAAGAAGGCCUUCGGGUUGUAAACCGCUUUUGUACGGAACGAAAAGGGUCUGGCUAAUACCUGGGGCUGAUGACGGUACCGUAAGAAUAAGCACCGGCUAACUACGUG